AAAUCAGCUCAUCAAGACAGAAGUCAUACUAAACAUUAAGACUUUUUUCAAAGACAGACCAAGAUCCGACGUCCUCCGUGGCUGGGCUUGCUGGACUCUGCACCAUGAGAAACAGAUUUCUAAGGUUGCCGCCAGGUAGGAAGAAUUAUAACAAGGAUGAGGAAGAAUAAGCUACCUGGGAACUGUCUAUACAGUUUAAGAAUGUUCUCUGCUCUUUGCCCGAUUUCUGGCUCGUUUUCCCACCAUCUCUGUAAGGAAGAGUGGGGAAGAAGUUUUAAGAAGGAUAUUAGCUCAGUUCUGUUCAGUCCUCAAAGGAGAAAGUCAGUGAAACUCAUUGUGAGGGCAAAGGUGGGGACUAAGGGAUUUAUGACCCAUAUUAGUUCAGGUUCUCCCGAGAAACAGAUCCAACAGGAUGUAUCUCUCUCUCACUGUCUCUGUGUUUCUCUCUGUCUCUGUCCGUCUGUCUGUCCACCUACCUCUCUAGAUUUACUUUAAGGACUUGGGUCAUGAGAUUGUGGAGGUUGGAAAGUCCAAAACCUGCUGUCAGGCUGGAGACCCAGGGAAGACUCGAUGUUACAUCUCAAGUCUGAAGCCAGUCUGGAAGCAGAAUUCCCUCUUCCUCAGAGGGGCAUUCUUGGUGCUGCUGCUGUUGUCAUUGGGACUUGCAGCCCAGAACCUUAGAGCCUCUGUCUCUGAAGCCUCUGCCCCUCCAGGCUGUGAUCCCUGGUGCCCUCGGAACUCCGUAUGUGUCAGUGCCACCACCUGUCGCUGCCAUCCAGGAUUCAGCUCCUGGUCUGGGGAGAUCAUCACCAACCCCGCAGACAGUUAUGAUGUUACUCUGUGCAGCCCUUGCUUUGUGGGUCCUGAGCUGCUCAAAGGGGAUGUGGUUCAUGGGCAUCGUUCCGCUCAUGAUGGGAGAACAAGGAGAGAGAAGAUGCCAGAAGACACCCCGAUGACUCAGCUACAUCAAUGAGUGUGGCCCACCCUUGGCCGUGUCCUGUGGAAAAUUCGCGGAUUGCCAGAAUGUGGACGGG
rnacentral:lncRNA from 1 species